UUAUUGGAACUUUAACCACAAUACAUGACAAAACGCUGAAUAAGACUAUCAUCAGAUUCAAGGACCCUUUGGUAGCUAUCGUAACCGCCUGUUUAAAAUCAACACCGAAGUCACUAUAGCGACACGCUACCAUCGAAUUUUUCAACUAACCCUGUGAGAUUUUAGAGAACGGCAUGCUUCCAUCUGCUCAUGAGCUUUAUGGAGAUGCUGAUUUCCUUCUCCAGCAGGACUCUGCACCUGCCCACAGUGCCAAAACUUCUAGUAACUGCUUUAUUGACCAUGGUGUUACUGUGCUCGAUCGUCCAGCCGACCCGCCUGACCCGAACCCCCAUAGAGAAUCUACGAGAGACACCAGACCCAACAAUACAGACGAGCUGAAGACCGCUAUCAAAGCAACCUGGACCUCCAGAACACCUCAGCAGCGCCACAGGCUGAUCGCCUCCACGCCACGCCGCACUGAUGCGGUCAUUCCUGCACAAGGAUUAAAACCCUGACCGAGUAUCAGCGCAUAAACUAACACACUGUUCACAAAGUCCACAUUUCUGUAUUAUAAAUUCUUUAUUCGAAUAUUUUGAGAUACUAAAUUUUUGAUUUCCGUGAGCUGUAAGCCGUAAUCAUCGACACUAACACAAAAAAGUCUUGAAAUAUUUCACUUUAUGUGUAAUGAAUCUAGUAUAUAUGAAAGUUCCACUUUUUGAAUUAAAUUACAGGGGAAAAAAUGAACUUUUCCACGAUAUUUCGUCAGAUGCACCUGUACGUUCUGAGAACUUUACAACACAGUGUUCUCUUAUGGAUGUAUCACAAUGGACAAGGUAUUUUCGCCAAAAGGUUGCUUUUAGCCUCUUUUUUAAAAUUAAUUAAUUAAUUAAUUUUUUAACUACAAACUAACCUUUCAGGGAAAGUUCCUGUAAAGUUCUUUCAUGGUCUCAUAACAAUACGUUUUGUAGCUAUAUACAAAAGUUGCAGGAACAAUAAAAAAAAUAAUAAAAAAUGUUCCCAGAACAUUCCGGGAACCAAUAAUUGUUAGCAGUUUGUCAUAUAAUUUUUUUUUUUACAGUAGUUUGUGCUUUCAGACAGCGGUAGUAUGAACGAGAUGUGUGUUGGUUGCCAGUUACUCUAUUUUAAUUGUAGAACUCACCCUGAGCUGCUGUAAUAGUCAAAUAUAUGGUGUUAUGAUGCUAGGUUAAGACGUUGAUGCGAUGGAUGAGUGGCACUUUUACUGAUUUGACUGUGCUUGAAAUUUGCAUGAGCUGUUAGGCCAUGUACAGAGGUGUUAGGUGACCAUUUCUUUCUAAAAUAACAGCGCAGCAGACACGAGUUUUCAGUGCAGCAGUUGUGGAGAAUGUUGAGACUUGUUGCAUUAUUAAACGUAAUAGCUUUUCAAGUCAACAUUUAAGCGACAUAUCAUGAUUUGAGUUUAUCUUGACGUUGCCAUGCCACAAACAUACAAAAAAACAAGCCUUUGUGAUGUAAAUGUUUUUAUUAGCUGAGCAAAGUAGAAUACACAGUUCAGCCAUAACAUUAAAACCACUGAAUAGUUUAUUCUUACGUGCACACCACACACAAGCACAGACCCGAGAACAAUCCUGAACUGGGUCCCACACACAAAUAACGAUGCUGCUGGAUUUAGUCUCUCCGUGACUGUAUGUUUGGCUGGUGUGUAUUUUUCUUUUCCGAUUACGCCUUACACACCAGACCCUAGAAGACCCUAGAAGCCUGUACAGUGUUUACACGGCAUUUUUAUUUAUUUUGAAUCACUGACUCACUGCAGAUAUGAGUUUAUUUCUGUCGAUUCUUGGAGGAUGUAGGAGCAGACGUGAGUGUUGCCAUGGCAAUAGGCAUGGAGACUCUAUCUUCCCAAAUCUUUCUUACUGAAAGUCUUCAUUUGGCAGAACACACACACACACACACACACACACACACACACACACACACUUCAAAAGUUUGAUUGGGUUGAUUGGGCUCUACGUCUAUCACUUGAAAUAAUUUCUGUUCAGCCCAGCUGCAUCCUGAUGCCACAUGAUUCCACUUGUGUGUGUGUGUGUGUGUGUGUGUGUGUGUGUGUGUGUGUGUGUGUGUGUGUGUGUGUGUGUGUGUGUUGUUGUUGUUGUUGUUGUUUUUUUCCUGAUCAAAGUGAUGUAGUUUGACCAAUUUCAAAAACUGGUCAGUCUUUCCUAGUAGAAUGUAAUCUAAGAAAAAUGUGUUGACCCAUUUUCGACAACAAUGUCUCUUUUUUUCCGUUUAUUUUGUUUACAAGGUUUCUUUGCUAACACUGGAUGUAUAUUACUGUUAAAUCAGUAAUAGUUUUUAAAUAAGAGUUGUUUUUUCCCCGCAAUUCAAUUAGCAAAUACUCAAGAUGUGGCUAAUUACUACCCAUGCUUCUGGCAUUUACUUAAUGAGUCACUUAAAAUUAUUAUUAUUAUUAUUAUUAUUAUUAUUAUUAUUGUUGUUGUUGUUGUUGUUGUAAUAACAUACUUUCACAUACAACAGGGUUGUACUUUCAAAGUGACCUCACGAGCCAGUAUCUCACUUUCGCCUAAAGAAGAAAAAGAAUGCAGGAAUGUAUUUCAUGAUCUUCAGAACAUUUGGAUGAUUCUUUCAACUUCUGGUUGAACUUGUGACUUGUGGAAUAUUCCAAAUAUUUCAUAGGGGUUAAUGUCGGGGGACAUUUUUUUCAUAACCUCUCAGAAAAGGAUGUUUCGAGCAUGAGAUAUUAAACAGAUUAACAUGUUCAUCCACAAAUAAGAUUUUAAUGAUCAUAUUUCAUAGUACAAGGUAGUUAGAGAGAUGUUUUCUGUAGUGCUGUAGAGAUUUUAUUCAUCCGAAACAUGCAAGGGAACGUUACAUCAUCGAAUGUCCAUUAUCUUUGCUUUACGCCCAUUUUUUUAAAUGUUGUAUUUUCUCUUAUGUGAAUCCUGUGCUGCCUCAGAAAGCUCUUCUGCCUGAUGGACUUAUUCAGGUCUCCAGAUGCAGAUGCUCAUGAUGAUGAUGAUGAUGAUGAUGAUGAUGUGACUUCACCGACUUCACCUUACCCUUCCUGUCUAACAAAUGAGCCCUACUUUAGCUUUUAGAUAAAUGAAAUAACUGUUAGGGGCAUAAAAUGGUGUCACUGAAAGCCCCAAUCUGUCGUUGUAGCCUUAUUAUAGUGGUGGAGUGGCUAAAUAUAGAGCUCAAGUACAACAACUGAGCGCUAAGAGAAAGAGAGGUGGAGGAAGAGGAACAGAGAAGGAAACUAGAAGAGACAAAGAAAGAUUUUUUUUUAUUAUUAUUUAAAAAAAAAAAAAAAAAACUUAGCAACAUUUGGCUCAGUAAUACCAUUUAAACAAAAAAGGUUGCUAAACUAGCUAGCAACACGCUUCCCUCACAACAUUAGCUUCAAAGAAAACUGCACACACCAAACGAGUCUUGGAUUUUACUUUUAUAGUGAGAAAAACAUUCCCAACAAAAUGCGAUUUUUUCAGACUGUAGACUGUUCUUUUAAACAAAGAAGAACCGUGCUAGGACAGAUUUCCAAGCGUUUACCCACAAAUACAGUACAAGUGAGAAUGCAGCGCCAUCUUGUGGUCAACAGUGAUAACAUUAUAGCCAUUAUACCGUGUAUAUUAUAUGGAGAGUCAUAUUAUUAUUAUUUUAAAUAUGGUAUAUCGUACAGCCUUUUAAUAAUACCAUAUGAGCAAUUUCUGUAUAUUUUAAGACCACAGCCACACACAAUGCAACUAGACCUGUUACUCUGUGCUAUAAUGUCGAAUAAAUAUCCAUUGUCUA